rnacentral:rRNA from 1 species
AGUGAACGCUGGCGGCAGGCCUAAUACAUGCAAGUCGAACGGCAGCACAGCAGAGCUUGCUCUGUGGGUGGCGAGUGGCGGACGGGUGAGGAAUACGUGGGAAUCUGCCCAGUCGUGGGGGAUAACGUAGGGAAACUUACGCUAAUACCGCAUGCGCCCUUCGGGGGAAAGCCGGGGACCUUCGGGCCUGGCGCGAUUGGAUGAGCCCACGUCGGAUUAGCUAGUUGGCGGGGUAAAGGCCCACCAAGGCGACGAUCCGUAGCUGGUCUGAGAGGAUGAUCAGCCACACUGGAACUGAGACACGGUCCAGACUCCUACGGGAGGCAGCAGUAGGGAAUAUUGGACAAUGGGCGCAAGCCUGAUCCAGCCAUGCCGCGUGAGUGAAGAAGGCCCUCGGGUUGUAAAGCUCUUUUGUCCGGAAAGAAAAGCGCCGGGUUAAUACCCUGGUGUCCUGACGGUACCGGAAGAUAAGCACCGGCUAACUUCGUGCCAGCAGCCGCGGUAAU